rnacentral:rRNA from 1 species
GAUGAACGCUGGCGGCGUGCCUAAUACAUGCAAGUCGAGCGAACAGACGAGGAGCUUGCUCCUCUGACGUUAGCGGCGGACGGGUGAGUAACACGUGGAUAACCUACCUAUAGACUGGGAUAACUUCGGGAAACCGGAGCUAAUACCGGAUAAUAUAUUGAACCGCAUGGUUCAAUAGUGAAAGACGGUUUUGCUGUCACUUAUAGAUGGAUCCGCGCCGCAUUAGCUAGUAGGUAAGGUAACGGCUUACCAAGGCGACGAUGCGUAGCCGACCUGAGAGGGUGAUCGGCCACACUGGAACUGAGACACGGUCCAGACUCCUACGGGAGGCAGCAGUAGGGAAUCUUCCGCAAUGGGCGAAAGCCUGACGGAGCAACGCCGCGUGAGUGAUGAAGGUCUUCGGAUCGUAAAACUCUGUUAUUAGGGAAGAACAAAUGUGUAAGUAACUAUGCACGUCUUGACGGUACCUAAUCAGAAAGCCACGGCUAACUACGUG